AUUGAACGCUGGCGGCAUGCUUUACACAUGCAAGUCGAACGGCAGCGGGGUAGUGCUUGCACUACUGCCGGCGAGUGGCGAACGGGUGAGUAAUAUAUCGCAACGUACCGAGUAAUGGGGGAUAACCAAUCGAAAGAUUGGCUAAUACCGCAUACGUCCUGAGGGAGAAAGCGGGGGAUCGCAAGACCUCGCGUUAUUCGAGCGGCCGAUAACUGAUUAGCUAGUUGGUGGGGUAAAGGCCUACCAAGGCGACGAUCAGUAGCGGGUCUGAGAGGACGAUCCGCCACACUGGGACUGAGACACGGCCCAGACUCCUACGGGAGGCAGCAGUGGGGAAUUUUGGACAAUGGGGGCAACCCUGAUCCAGCCAUGCCGCGUGUAUGAAGAAGGCCUUCGGGUUGUAAAGUACGUUUGUUAGGGAAGAAAAGGGAAGUGCUAAUACCACUUUUUGCUGACGGUACCUAAAGAAUAAGCACCGGCUAACUACGUG
rnacentral:rRNA from 1 species